GUUAUGUAGGUAAAUGAUUACUUAGUUCUAUUCUUGUAAUCAACUUCCAAGAAACGGAUAUGAAAGCCAACAACACUUGAAUCAAGAGACUAGAAGAAUAACAGAUACCAAAAACAGUUUUUGAGUUACGAAUUAAGAUCCCAUUAGACAGCGCUUAUGUUUCCUUGACUAUGCUACUGAAAAGGUUUUGAAUCAUACUGAUAUUGCUACAUUUUGUCAUUGAAGUUAAACUUUGAACCUCAAUUACUGUUAGUCUUGACCUUUAAACUGUUAGGUUUGUACUUUUAAGUUCUGAACAGAGGCGGAUCACGAGGACUUUUUAUUUGGUUGAAGUUCAAGCGCAUGUGAAAAUUUAUAACUUUCUCUCUCUUUCUAGGCUCUCGGCGCAUGUUAACUAACAUACGCCACUGUGUUUCGCCAUGGGAGGAAGAGGAAGAGGUCGCGGAAGAGGACGAGGAAAAGCAAAGCGACAUCCCAUCAUCGCAUUUGGGAGCUCAGUUGGAGCUCGCCUACAAAUAGGAAUAAACAAGGAACAAGUUACAACGCCAGUUAACCAAAUCGAACAAUCUGAACUGAGGAAAGAAGGAAUCUCCUCUACAUCAAUAACUGCGAAGAAAUUGGAUCUGAGUCCUUCACCGUCAACUACACCAGCUCUACUGAUGGAAACCAAUGAAACAAUAAUUGAGGUCAAUCCAACAAUAACUAUACCUACUGAAGCAACUAUUGGUCCAACAAUUGCCAACAGCAAGGGUACAGAACCUCUAAAUGAAGCCAUGGAUGACGUUGGAGCGAAGAAGCCUACUGCAUGGGUGAGCUUAUUUCAGAAGAACAGAUAUGCAGAAAAGGUAUGGCCCUGACCUAUAUCCUACCUCAAAUUGUUAAUGGCUUGCCAGCAAUGCAAUUAGAGAAAACGGAGGUAAGUAGGGAAACAGAAAAGUGGCGUUGUGCUUUAAUUGCUUAUUUUAUCGGAGAAGUACAGGGAUUUAAUGCAAUAAAGAGAUACAUUGGUCUACACUGGGCAAAAAUAGAUGAGCCAGACCUGUUUCUACAUGAAGAAGGUUACUAUGUCAUUAAAUUUCAGUCCAUUGCAGAUAGGGAUGAAAUUUAUUAUGCAGGACCUUACUCAAUCAACAACAAACCUAUCUUCUUAAAGCCAUGGACCCCGGAUUUUGAUUUCAGUGAAACUGAGAUUCCUCUUUGGGUUACAUUUCCAAAACUGUCGAUGAAUUGUUGGGGGUAGUAAUUCUCUGAGUCGAAUAGUAAGUGCUAGUGGCACCCCUAUUUUUGCUGAUGAGUGCACAAAUAAGCAUACUAGAAUUUCAUAUACCAGAAUGCUUGUUGAAGUAGAUGUGACCAGAACUCUGCCUACAGAAAUAACUGUGAUAGAUCCUAAUGGGAGGCAAUUCCAACAACUGGUAACCAAUGAUUAGAAGCCAGAAUUUUGUGAGAAGUGUCAAGUAGUUGGUCAUAAAUGCCAUCCACCAAGGAGAAUUGAUAAUUGUCAGCUGAGAAAAAGGAAGAUUGUCCAACAGUGGAAAAACCAAGGCCCAAUCAAGUUGGAUGCAACUAAGGUGACGGCAGAAAAGCAGAACAUAAUCCAAGAGAUACAUCCUAGGAGUCCUCAGAAACAGAAGGAUAAGCAACAGACUUCAGCUGUAACACAUGAGUGGAGGAAAAACAAAGUGUGAGAGGAAAGUCUCCAGCUAGUCCUGUACAGAUCAUCGGAGACAAACCAGUAGAAGCUAAUCCUGAGUUUAAUAUUAGCAAUUUUUCUGUGCUAUCUGUUGUACAAACUAAAAAUGGUUUUGAGGCUUUGCAAAGAGGGAACUGUGAUGAGAUCAACCUACCUCUAUACAAAGGUGGAUGACUUAACAACUGAAUCAUGAAUUGGCUGUUUUGGAAUGUAAGAGGGGUGAACAAGAGGUACAAGCAAAAGGAAUUGAGAAAUUACAUCAAGAGCAAAGAUAUAAAUUUAGCUGGUAUUAUUGAAACAAGGGUCAAAGAACAUAAUGUUUCUAGAGUAAUGCAUAGCAUAGUGGCUAACUGGGGAAUACUGAAAAACUACCAGCAUGCAGUUAAUAGAAGAGUUUGGUUAAUUUGGGACACUAAUUGGUAUGCAGUAAAACUGCUCAAGGAAGAUGCUCAAAUUAUUCACUGACAUGUUCAAAGCAAGACAAGGGACUGUCUCCUUACUGUAGUCUAUGACUAUAAUGUCAUGGAACAACGAAAAGCUUUAUGGGAUAGCUUACAUGACAUUUCACAAAGGGUAACUGUACCAUGUACCAUGGCUAACUGCUGGAGACUUCAAUGCAACUUUGUAUCCAGCUAACAGACAAAUGGGGAAUUCUGUUACUCAAGCUGAAAUUCAAGACUUCUCUAACUGUGUCCAUGAUCUGUUACUAAAUGAAUUGCCUUGGAAAAGAGAGUACUAUGCAUGGACUAAUAAGCAACAAGGAGAUGAGUGGGUAUGUAGUAGAAUUGAUAAAUGCUUUAGAAACUGUUAAUGUAUGAUGAAAUGGGGACAUGUCUUCACAGAAUAUGAUAUUCCAAAUAUCUUUGAUCAUGCCCCUAUGAUAAUAUAUCUACACUCAGCUCAGCGGAAUGGUAAAGUACCAUUAAAUUUUUUUAAUAUGUGGGCAGAUCAUGGGAAUUUCCUAGCUAUUGUGUAAAGCAUAUGGGAUCAACCAUGCAAAGUGCAAAAUGAGGAGCAUAUGGAUGAAGUUAAAAUCACUUAAACCAUUGCCGAAGAAGAUGAAUAAUGAGGAAUUCAAAUUCAUUAGCAACAAGAUUGAGAAGGCUCAACAAGAGUUAUCUACCAUACAACAUCAACUAUACACCUCCUACAGAUAACCUCUUGGACUUGGAGAAGACCACAUUACAAAAUUUGGAGAGAUGGUUUUUAUUAGAGGAAAGUGCUCUUAAGCAAAAAUCAAAAGCAACUUGGAUACAGUUGGGUGACUCAAAUACUAAGUACUUCUCAAUAAUUAUUAAGGAGAGAAACUAGUAGGAAAAACAUAUAUGAGAUCAGCUCUCUAGCAGGAAACAGAUUGACUGAUCCUAAGGCCAUUAAGAAUGAGAUUAUAAGCUUCUAUAAAGGUCUGAUGGAUUGGCUCAAACUCUUCCAGCAGGAGAAUUCUGAGCAAGGGUCCUAAGCAAACUCAUCAGCAGAAGCUAGACCUAUGUGCCCCCAUUUUUUAUCAGGAAAUAUAUGCUGGAUUAUGCUCUAUUGGUGAUGAUAAGGCACUUGGAGUUAAUGGUUAUAAUGCUUUCUUUUUUAAGAAGGUGCACAUAGUCAAAGAUAAAGAGAUAGAUGCAAUGAAUGAGUUCUUCAACACUGGUAAAUUGUUGAAGGUUGUGAGCUGCACUACUAUAACUUUAGUCCCUAAAGUAACUAAUCUUGCCACUGUAAAGGAAUUUUGACCAGUAGCUUGUUGUUCUGUCAUCUAUAAAUUGAUCCCAAAGAUUCUAGCUUCUAGAAUCCAAAAGGAGUCUUGGGAAAUGAGCCACAAAGAUGAAAUCCAACUCAAAAAGGAGUGAUCCGAACUCUAGGACAAAAAUCAGGCACAAAGGCCCAAGUGCGGACCGCAGAAUAUAAAGGAAAGUCCAUCAGGAUCCAAGUGUAAAGUGCGGAUCGCACAAUUAUUGUGCAGCCGUAGAAGUUAUAUCAGAGCAGAAGUUCAGAGAGUUGUCAUCUCAAGACUAAAGGAUAUGCGGACCACACAAUUAUUGUGCGGUCACAGAAAUCAGCCAAGCGGCUGCACUCAGAAAUGUGUGGUCCGCAAAAGGCCGUGUGCGGCUGCACUAAGAUUUGUGCGGACCACAGAACAUGAGACAUGCGGUCACAUUUCAUAAUUGUGCGGCCACAGAUCCAGCUCCUGUCAAGAUUGACGAAAAGUGUGAACCGCACAUGGAAUUGUGCGGCCGCAGAACCUCUGAAAAGGCAAUUUGUCCGAAAUUUUCAACUUUGUAUAAAUAGACUAGUUUCACGAAAUUAGAUCUAGUUUUGAAUAUUGGAACUCCUGUAGCGGUUUUUCCUUACUACUUUAGGCAACUUUAGCUUACUUUGGUGACUUAACAUUGGAUUUUUGUCUUUUAAUCUUUGAA